GGGGCCGUGGUGCAGCUGGGAGCACACCUCGUUCGCAACGAGGAGAUCGUCGGUUCAAAUCCGAUCGGCUCCA
rnacentral:tRNA from 1 species